GACGAACGCUGGCGGCGUGCUUAACACAUGCAAGUCGAACGGAAAGGCCCUGCUUUUGUGGGUUGCUCGAGUGGCGAACGCGUGAGUAACACGUGAGUAACCUGCCCUUGACUUUGGGAUAACUUCAGGAAACUCGGGCUCAUACCGGAUAUAAUCUCCUGCUGCAUGGUGGGGGUUGGAAAGUUUCGGCGGUUGUGGCUGGUCUGGCGGCUUAUCAGCUUGUUGGUGUGGUAGUUGCUGACAAAGGUUUUGACGGGUAGCCGGCCUGAGAGGGUGACCGGGCACAUGGGGACUGAGAGACGGCCCAGAAGCGUACGGGAGGCAGCAGUGGGGAGUAUUGCACAAUGGGCGGAAGCGUGAUGCAGCAACGCCGGGAGCGGGAUGACGGCCUUCGAGGGGUAAACAGAUGUCGACGGUGACGAAGAGGGAGUGACGGUAAUGGGUAAAGAAGCACCGGCUAACUACGUG
rnacentral:rRNA from 1 species